rnacentral:rRNA from 1 species
AUUGAACGCUGGCGGCAGGCCUAACACAUGCAAGUCGAGCGAGCGGCGGACGGGUGAGUAAUGUCUGGGAAACUGCCUGAUGGAGGGGGAUAACUCCUGGAAACGGUAGCUAAUACCGCAUACCCUCAGAUGUGCCCAGAUGGGAGUAGCUAGUAGGUUGGGUAACGGCUCACCUAGGCGACGAUCCCUAGCUGGUCUGAGAGGAUGACCAGCAAGACUGGAAGUGAGACACGGUCCAGACUCCUACGGGAGGCAGCAGUGGGGAAUAUUGCACAAUGGGCGCAAGCCUGAUGUAGCCAUGCCGCGUGUAUGAAGAAGGCCUUCGGGUUGUAAAGUACUUUCAGCGGGGAGGCGUGACCCGCAGAAGAAGCACCGGCUAAGUCAGUGCCAGCAGCCGCGGUAAAAC